rnacentral:rRNA from 1 species
AGGGUUUGAUCCUGGCUCAGAACGAACGCUGGCGGCGUGGAUUAGGCAUGCAAGUCGAACGAGAACUUGGAAGUUCAAUCCUUCGGGAAAGAACAUCCUUGGGAAAGUGGCGAAAGGGUGAGUAACACGUGAGUAAUCUACCCUGAAGUUGGGAAUAACGACUCGAAAGAGACGCUAAUUCCGAAUGUGGUUACAGCAUGGCAUCGUGCUGUAAUUAAAGGUGGGGACUCCUUCGGGAGCCUGCCGCUUUUGGAGGAGCUCGCGGUCUAUUAGCUUGUUGGUAGGGUAAAAGCCUACCAAGGCAAUAAUGGAUAGCCGACCUGAGAGGGUGACCGGCCACACUGGGACUGAGACACUGCCCAGACUCCUACGGGAGGCUGCAGUCGAGAAUCUUUCGCAAUGGGCGAAAGCCUGACGAAGCGACGCCGCGUGAGCGAUGAAGGCCUUCGGGUUGUAAAGCUCUGUCACAUGGGACGAAAUGUAUAUAUGCCAAUACCAUAUAUAUUUGACGGUACCAUGAGAGGAAGCCCCGGCUAAUUUCGUGCCAGCAGCCGCGGUAAUACGAAAGGGGCAAGCGUUGUUCGGAUUUAUUGGGCGUAAAGGGCGUCUAGGUGGCUUAUUAAGUCAGAUGUGAAAUCCUUCAGCUCAACUGAAGAAUUGCAUCUGAUACUGAUGAACUUGAGUCCAGGAGAAGAGAGCGGAAUUCUCAGUGUAGCGGUGAAAUGCGUUGAUAUUGAGAAGAACACCAGUGGCGAAGGCGGCUCUCUAGUCUGAGACUGACACUAAAGCGCGAAAGCCAGGGGAGCGAACGGGAUUAGAUACCCCGGUAGUCCUGGCAGUAAACGAUGGGCACUUGGUGUUGGAGGUAUCGACCCCUUCAGUGCCGGAGUUAACACGUUAAGUGCCCCGCCUGGGGAGUACGGCCGCAAGGCUGAAACUCAAAGGAAUUGACGGGGGCCCGCACAAGCGGUGGAGCAUGUGGCUUAAUACGACGCAACGCAUAGAACCUUACCAGGGCUUGACAUGUACUGGAUUGCCUGUGAAAGCAGGUUUCUCUUCGGAGCCGGUACACAGGUGUUGCAUGGCUGUCGUCAGCUCGUGUCGUGAGAUGUUGGGUUAAGUCCCGCAACGAGCGCAACCCUUGUCUUUAGUUACCAGCACUUCGGGUGGGAACUCUAAAGAGACUGCCGGUGAUAAACCGGAGGAAGGUGGGGAUGACGUCAAGUCAUUAUGGCCCUUACGCCCUGGGCUGCACACGUGCUACAAUGGUCGGUACAAAGGGUUGCCAAGCCGCGAGGUGGAGCCAAUCCCUAAAAGCCGGUCCCAGUUCGGAUUGGAGUCUGCAAUUCGACUCCAUGAAGUCGGAAUCGCUAGUAAUGGCGCAUCAGCUACGGCGCCGUGAAUACGUUCCCGGGCCUUGUACACACCGCCCGUCACAUCACGAAAGUUUGCUGUACCCGAAGUCAAUGAUCUAACCCGUAAGGGGGGAAGUUGCCGAAGGUAUGGCAGAUGAUUGGGAUGAAGUCGUAACAAGGUAGCC